rnacentral:rRNA from 1 species
CUUUGGGGUGUGACUGCGUACCUUUUGUAUAAUGGGUCAGCGACUUAUAUUCUGUAGCAAGGUUAACCGAAUAGGGGAGCCGGAGGGAAACCGAGUCUUAAUUGGGCGUUAAGUUGCAGGGUAUAGACCCGAAACCCGGUGAUCUAGCCAUGGGCAGGUUGAAGGUUGGGUAACACUAACUGGAGGACCGAACCGACUAAUGUUGAAAAAUUAGCGGAUGACCUGUGGCUGGGGGUGAAAGGCCAAUCAAACCGGGAGAUAGCUGGUUCUCCCCGAAAGCUAUUUAGGUAGCGCCUCGUGAAUUCAUCUCCGGGGGUAGAGCACUGUUUCGGCUAGGGGGCCAUCCCGGCUUACCAACCCGAUGCAAACUGCGAAUACCGGAGAAUGUUAUCACGGGAGACACACGGCGGGUGCUAACGUCCGUCGUGAAGAGGGAAACAACCCAGACCGCCAGCUAAGGUCCCAAAGUCAUGGUUAAGUGGGAAACGAUGUGGGAAGGCCCAGACAGCCAGGAUGUUGGCUUAGAAGCAGCCAUCAUUUAAAGAAAGCGUAAUAGCUCACUGGUCGAGUCGGCCUGCGCGGAAGAUGUAACGGGGCUAAACCAUGCACCGAAGCUGCGGCAGCGACACUCAGGUGUUGUUGGGUAGGGGAGCGUUCUGUAAGCCUGCGAAGGUGGCCUGUGAGGGUUGCUGGAGGUAUCAGAAGUGCGAAUGCUGACAUAAGUAACGAUAAAGCGGGUGAAAAGCCCGCUCGCCGGAAGACCAAGGGUUCCUGUCCAACGUUAAUCGGGGCAGGGUGAGUCGACCCCUAAGGCGAGGCCGAAAGGCGUAGUCGAUGGGAAACGGGUUAAUAUUCCCGUACUUGGUGUUACUGCGAAGGGGGGACGGAGAAGGCUAUGUUGGCCGGGCGACGGUUGUCCCGGUUUAAGCGUGUAGGUGUGUGUUCCAGGUAAAUCCGGUUCACUUUAACACUGAGGCGUGAUGACGAGGCACUACGGUGCUGAAGCAACAAAUGCCCUGCUUCCAGGAAAAGCCUCUAAGCAUCAGGUAACAUCAAAUCGUACCCCAAACCGACACAGGUGGUCAGGUAGAGAAUACCAAGGCGCUUGAGAGAACUCGGGUGAAGGAACUAGGCAAAAUGGUGCCGUAACUUCGGGAGAAGGCACGCUGACACGUAGGUGAAGUGAUUUACUCAUGGAGCUGAAGUCAGUCGAAGAUACCAGCUGGCUGCAACUGUUUAUUAAAAACACAGCACUGUGCAAACACGAAAGUGGACGUAUACGGUGUGACGCCUGCCCGGUGCCGGAAGGUUAAUUGAUGGGGUCAGCGCAAGCGAAGCUCCUGAUCGAAGCCCCGGUAAACGGCGGCCGUAACUAUAACGGUCCUAAGGUAGCGAAAUUCCUUGUCGGGUAAGUUCCGACCUGCACGAAUGGCGUAAUGAUGGCCAGGCUGUCUCCACCCGAGACUCAGUGAAAUUGAACUCGCUGUGAAGAUGCAGUGUACCCGCGGCAAGACGGAAAGACCCCGUGAACCUUUACUAUAGCUUGACACUGAACAUUGAGCCUUGAUGUGUAGGAUAGGUGGGAGGCUUUGAAGUGUGGACGCCAGUCUGCAUGGAGCCGACCUUGAAAUACCACCCUUUAAUGUUUGAUGUUCUAACGUGGACCCGUAAUCCGGGUUGCGGACAGUGUCUGGUGGGUAGUUUGACUGGGGCGGUCUCCUCCUAAAGAGUAACGGAGGAGCACGAAGGUUGGCUAAUCCUGGUCGGACAUCAGGAGGUUAGUGCAAUGGCAUAAGCCAGCUUGACUGCGAGCGUGACGGCGCGAGCAGGUGCGAAAGCAGGUCAUAGUGAUCCGGUGGUUCUGAAUGGAAGGGCCAUCGCUCAACGGAUAAAAGGUACUCCGGGGAUAACAGGCUGAUACCGCCCAAGAGUUCAUAUCGACGGCGGUGUUUGGCACCUCGAUGUCGGCUCAUCACAUCCUGGGGCUGAAGUAGGUCCCAAGGGUAUGGCUGUUCGCCAUUUAAAGUGGUACGCGAGCUGGGUUUAGAACGUCGUGAGACAGUUCGGUCCCUAUCUGCCGUGGGCGCUGGAGAACUGAGGGGGGCUGCUCCUAGUACGAGAGGACCGGAGUGGACGCAUCACUGGUGUUCGGGUUGUCAUGCCAAUGGCACUGCCCGGUAGCUAAAUGCGGAAGAGAUAAGUGCUGAAAGCAUCUAAGCACGAAACUUGCCCCGAGAUGAGUUCUCCCUGAGACUUAGAGUCUCCUGAAGGAACGUUGAAGACGACGACGUUGAUAGGCCGGGUGUGUAAGCGCAGCGAUGCGUUGAGCUAACCGGUACUAAUGAACCGUGAGGCUUAACCUUACAACGCCGAAG